rnacentral:rRNA from 1 species
UACGUAGGGGGCAAGCGUUGUCCGGAAUCAUUGGGCGUAAAGAGCGUGUAGGCGGUUCGGUAAGUCCGCUGUAAAAGUCCAGGGCUCAACCCUGGAAAGCCGGUGGAAACUGUCGAACUAGAGUCCGGAAGAGGCGAGUGGAAUUCCUGGUGUAGCGGUGAAAUGCGCAGAUAUCAGGAGGAACACCAAUGGCGAAGGCAGCUCGCUGGGACGGUACUGACGCUGAGACGCGAAAGCGUGGGGAGCGAACAGG